UACGUAGGGUGCAAGCGUUGUCCGGAAUUAUUGGGCGUAAAGAGCUCGUAGGCGGUCUGUCACGUCGGGCGUGAAAAUCCAGGGCUUAACCCUGGACCUGCGUUCGAUACGGGCAGACUAGAGUUCGGUAGGGGAGACUGGAAUUCCUGGUGUAGCGGUGAAAUGCGCAGAUAUCGGGAGGAACACCAGUGGCGAAGGCGGCUUUCUGGUCUGUUCUUGACGCUGAGGCGCGAAAGCUAGUGUAGCAAACGGG
rnacentral:rRNA from 1 species